AUGACGAUGACGCCGUUUUGCUGCAACCGUAGUAGCUUUUUGCUACCACCGCUCCGGCGUGGCCGGGUCCGGCGAGGUAGGCAGAGCUCCGAUGCAUGCGAGGGAGGCGUCGCCGUGGUAGCACCCCGUAGCACCGGUUGCAGCAUCUCCCGUUGUCACUGCCCCUCGGUCGCCGGCGAGAUGGGAUGGUCGCCGGCGAGCUUCGAGCGGGGAGGGGAGCGCGUGGCGCUGCGACCGGGGGGGCGGGGGGGGGAGGGGGAAGGGAUGGGGAAGGGGUGGGGAGGAGAGGGCAGAAGAAGAGGGCGGCGCGCGCCCCGGCGAGCUGCGCGAGAUGUGGGGGAGCUGCGAGCUGCGCGAGGAAGAGGGAGACCGGCCCAAUGUUUCGGCCGGCCCUUGUGCAGCGCGUCCACCACCAUGACUACACUACACUUCCGGGACCCAUCUGACAGCGGGCCGAUGGGUUGUCGUGAGAAACAUAGAGUUCAUGAGGAAGCCACGGAGCGCACGGCCAGCGGGAUGGUCGUGCUGCAUCCUGGGACGCCCGCAGCCCCACCAACGUGCCUGGCCGUCUUGGACUACGGCGUCGUUCACCCACGAUCCAUUCGUAGACAAAUACCCAUCGGCCCCGUGACGACGCCGCCCGUAGCUGACACCACGUACGGCAGUCAUGAAUUAUUGCGGUCCGAUUCACUGAGUGGAGACAAUGUGGCCAUUGGGCUCGUCAAUCAUGGAUGUCUAAUAGCAAUUCCUCAAUUUACUUUACCCACCCUCUCAUCACAAUCAUUCGCAUCUUUGCACCUGCCUGGAGGCUGCCUCCCUCGGUCCCUCUCAUAUAAUGCUGUCCCUCCCCUCCCCUCCCGGCCUUUCUCUCCCUCCCCCGGUGCUCCGAUCGAUCAUCCCAUUCGCCCGCCGUCAUCACUGCCAUCCUCCACGCCUGCCCCCUUCCGGCCCUCUCCUUUUACAAUUACACCACCACAAGUGAACCCACAACCGCCGCUACUUAAGCGCACCUCGCACAACCCUACCUUUUGCUACUUCAUGGGCCUCGAGCUCGAUCAGCUUGAGCUUUUGUCUCACCAGCUCCCUCCGGUCCGGACGUCCGCAACCGACGACGGCGCGACCGCCGCGGACGAUGAAGACCGGUGUGCCACGCCGACGUCGGAGGCGAACAUGCUGCGCGCGCCGUCACUGUGCCCCCCGGCGCCGAGGAAGCCGAGGCCGGCGCGGGCCAAGAGGAGGCAGCAGCACUGCUACUACCGCGGGCGGCGGCGCCGGUGCAGCAGCGGGCCGGCGCACGCGCGGUACUGGAUCGUCGCCGUGCCACACGACCUCGCCGCAGUGUUCAUCGCGGCGCGGCCGCCCUCGCCUUCGAGCUCGCCGUGCCGGCCGCCGGGAGGCAAGAAGAUCCGAGUGCACGUCAAAAAUAAAAAUUACAUUCAAAAUCAUGGGAGUGUCGGUGUCUUCUUCCUCCUGCAUCCACCGGCAGAGCGCCUGAGCAUAGCUCGAUGCCGCCUCUGGGCCUCCCUCCCCCUCGCCAGAGCAACCAUUCUUAGACUCGGAAGCUUGUGGAAGAGCGAUUCAAUGAUUCUGUCCACGGUGAAGUACUAUUGCCCCUGCAUUUUCCUGGACAAGCUUGCGGCAGAACUAUCAGUGCUAGUCCAUCAUAUGUGUCCAUACUUUUAUGCAAACACCAUAUACUGGUAUCAGUCUGAGUAUAUACACCCUCCCAAGACUCCCCACAAAGGAGUACUCAUGUACUGGUGCGUCGCUGUGGUGGCUCUUUGCAUGCAUGCAUGCAUGCACGGAGCUGCCAUGCGUUAUGGCCGCCGUGGAUUCGUGAUAAAUGGUGUCUGCUUUCAUUUGUGGUUGCACGAGGAGGCGAGGCGACGGGGCGUGCGCGAGGUCGACCGGAGGUCGCCGCCACCGGCGCUCAUCGUCCGCGAGGAGGACCAGGCGACCCUUGCGGCCGUCUACCGGGAGAGCGAGGAGGACGAGCGGCGCAGGGCGGAGGCGGAAGAGGAGGCUCGGUACGAGGCGGCAAUGGCGCAGGCCCUUGCCCUCUCCGCGGCGGGCGACAGCGUGGUGCCGCCGGUGGCCCCGCCGUCCCCCAUCAAGCCGGAGCCGGAGCGGGAGCCGUCCCCCAUCGAGCGCUACUCCUGGACGGGAGUAGUGCGCGAGUGGGUACGCGCGCCACCGGUCUGGAUGGGAGCGACGCCAGCGCAGGAGCAGGCGUACCUCGAGCACUGGCGCACGAUCAGGGUGGCCGAGGAGCGCCGCGACAGCGAGUACCUCGAGAUGCUCGAGCGCGACCUCGAGGAGGAGGAGCGUGAGGCCGAGGAGGAGGCGCGCCAGGCCGCGGCUGCACAGGCAGCCGCACACACCCCCGCGCCGGCACUGCCUGCGCCGGCACUGCCCGACAUGACGGCGCUCUGGAACACGGCGUUCGCCUGGGCCGGGCCGGCGCCGACGCUCAUCGACCUCACGGACCCCGAGGACGACAACGACGACGCCUAG
rnacentral:rRNA from 1 species